AUUUCAGGGGGAAAGAGGAAGACACCAGGAAGUUUUUCACCAGCCAGAGUAUCGCACUCCUACCAAGUGCAUCUCUGCGAAGACAAAACCCCAUAAUGAAAGAAACAUUCUGAGGAUGUUUGCUGAGCUCCAUAAUUGAGAGAAAGAAGUUGGACAAAGACACACCCACAGGGAAAGCACCAUGAGAAGAUGACGGCAGAGAUCUGGGCGACGCGUCUACAAGCCAAGCGACACCAAAGGUGGCCAGCAGCCCAUGUGAAGCUGGAGGAGAGGCCUCGAAUAAAUGCUCCCUUACAGCGUUCAGGGGGAACUGACCCUGUCCACACCUUGACCUUGAACUUCUGGGCUCCAGAACUGUGAGACAGCAUGUUCUGUUGUUGAAGGUACCUGGUCUGGGGUGCGUGGUGCUUUGCAGCCAAAGUGAAUGAAUCUGGUGACACUGACCUGUGUACUGUAUGUCUUGUCUGCAGCUUGCUGGAGCAGCGUGGCUAGAGGAAUUCCUGCAGCUUAGAUUUCGCUGGCACUGUUACCACUCCCAGAGAGGAGCGGCUGGAGUUCACGGCUGGUUCCUGACAAACUUCCUAAUUAAUCUGCUAAAGAUCAGAGGAGGACUAAUAGGAGCUGAAGACUGUGUGCGAGACCACCCCUCCGCCCUCUCCCUUUGUGUGUGCACGUGUGUGUGUGUGUGUGUGUGAGCGCGUGCGCGCAUGUGGUGCUGAGCUUGGCGGGAGAGAGAUGGCCUCACCAGCGACAAAGCAUUCCUGCUGCUGUUGCUGCCACCUACCUUCCCUGCUUUGGGAGGAUACAUUUUCUCCUCUUGCUUAGAAGUUUCAGGGAGUCACCCAAGCCUUCUUCUCCCAGAUACAACGGUGGAAUAAAAUAUCUUCCAGCCAACAUAUUUUUUGGAGACGGAAUCUCACUCUGUCACCUGGUUGAAGUGCAGCAGCGCGAUCAUGGCUCACUGCAACCUCUGCCUCCCGGUUUCAAGUGAUUCUCCUGCCUCCGCCUCCCGAGUAGCUGGGAUUACAGGCAUGUGCCACCCACCACGCCUGGGUAAUUUUUGUAUUUUUACUAGAGACAGGGUUUCACUAUGUGGGCUGGGCUGGUCUCAAACUCCUGACCUCUGGUGAUCUGCCCACUUCGGCCUCUCAAAGUGCUGGGAUUACAGGCAUGAGCCCCCGCACCCGGUUGCAACCAACUUUUUUGUGGAAUAUAGGAUCUUGAUGUUUGGAUGCCUGAAGGCAGAAGCUGUUGCACAUGGAAUGGAUUAAAGUUUUCCCCUCUGCAACCAAAAAUCCUUGGGGUCCCAGGAGCAAAAGAUGCUCCAUGGCACAGGACAAUUCAAGAAGGCCCGAGGUGAUAUUGAAGACUGCAGAGACAUCCAGCUCAGUUGUGUCUCCGGAGGUGUCCAGACUUUGCAGACAGACGUUGCACAUAAAGAGCUGAAAAACUGAGGAAGCUGAGCUGGAGAAGGAAGUCACUUCUACUCAGACUUGACCUGCGUCUGAUGCUAUGGGGCCUCUUAGGGUUACCUCAUGCUUCAUGCACCCCUUUCUCUGUUCUUCAGCAGAAGGCAGGGUGUAGGGAAGCGGGACUGUGCCUCCUUUCUCCCUGCCAGGCCUGACUCUCCAGGCCAAGAGACACCAUUAAGGAGUAUAAUUUGUUGAUCCAGGCUCUCCUUGCGUUUCAGUGCAGAGUGGCAUCGUUUUCUUUAUGACCUCGUAAAGUCACAGCCGAGAGGCCGAUUUGGAAAACAAACUGCCUCAGGUUGACAGAUAAUUAGAUACAGGGGACAUAUUAUAUGCCUUUGCAUAUAAAUGUGCUCCGAGGCGUGUUGGUUCAUCUGAAGUUGAGGUUAAAGGCGCGCCAGGUAUUCCUGACACAUCAGGAUAUAUAUUUUCAUACAGUCUCAGAGUUAAUCCUAAUAAAAAAUGAUUACAGAAGAGGACGCCUCCACCCACAGGAAGGAGCCAGCACGGUGGGGAGCUGUUUCACCAGGGGAGUGUUCUCAGCAGCUGCCACACGUGGAGUUGUGGAGCAGGAUCUUGGCAGUGGACUGCCACGGGAGCUCUGGGGAAAAAGGACCAGUUGGACUCCAGUACCUCCUGAGAGACCACCACCCUCCAUGCCUCCAGCUCAUGCCCAGCUCUGAGUCAGACGGACUCUUCCUGUUGUACUGCGAGGUUCUGCAAACCUUGAAGGGCAAACACAGUGAGGGUCUCUGACUUGCUGUGUGGACAGCCCACUCUCUGACAGCCCAGAUCAUCUGAAGCUAUCCCUGGGCUGGGAGCUGGAAGCCAUUCUUGUGAACCACUCCUUAUACCUUGAGCGAAGCCUCUUUGGGUCCCAGAAGUCUGAAGCUCCAGCUGCCUGGCAAGACUGAGUCUAGAUGAUUUCUUGGGUACCAGUAGUUUGGCAUUUAAAAAUACUGGAUUAACUGCAGUGUAAACUUAGAUUGCAUUUCAGAUUGUAAACAAUAACCCCCGUGCUUCAUGUGAUGUUAAAUCAGAAAUGAGCUAUUAGCCAAGCUAGUCCUCUUAUGAAUGAGCCCCUAACCCUGAUCCAGGGAUCGUUGAAUGAAAAUCAUCAAAAUGAUUUAUCUUCACUUUACCUAUUGUCUCACAAGAAUCUCAUCACUCAGGGAAAAGGAGGGUGUUCUUCAGGGAACGGAGGGCAUGAGGAAGGGGGAUUUCCUUAUAUCUCAACUUUCAGAGGGAGCUGAGUUGUAAACAGAUGGAACAAGGUGUGUACGAGAAGCCUCUUAGAUUUAGUCUUUCAUAUCAAGGCUCUUGCUGAAAAUCCUGGCACAGCUGUGAAAUGAGGGGAGCUCUGACACACAGAGACACGCUCCUUGCCUCACCAACCUUCCCAUACACAGUCAUGCGCACAGAGAGCAGGUACCAAUACUGAAAAUGCCCUUCCGGAGUUUCCUCAGCUUAAACCCUUGACAGCAUUAAGUGAGGAAGGAGUUUCCUUGACCUGGGGAAGAAGAACCAACUCAUAAACAUGGAACUGUGCCCACUGCCUUUUCCUUUGCUCUGUGGAUUGGCUGUGGUUCUGCCCUGGCACUCGGAUGUCAAGUUGCUCUGGCUGUUUGGGAGGAAGCCCAGCCUGGGUCAGGUGGUCAUAAGCCAGAGGCCCUGUCCUGUCCCCAGGGUUGGCCUCCCUCUGGGGUCCAGCAUGGCCCCAGUGCUGAGGCUCCCACUGCUGGGGAAUGUGCCCUCUCCUCUCUUUGUUUCCAUACCAAGGGGAUCUGCAGGGUAGAGGGCAAAUUAUUCUUAGCAGAUUGGGGCUAUGGGUAAACCAGAAGGGAUGAGGGAGAGAGGAGAGAGGAGAGGAAAGGGAAGGAGAGGGGAGGGCAGGGGAUAGGUAGAGGAGAGAGACAGCAAGAAAAAAUAGAAAAAAAAAAAAAGGAAAUAAAGGUUGCAUAUACAAAGGGAGAUUAACAAGGAGUAGAAGAAGGGAGGCAGAAGAGGGAGAAACAGAGAAGAGGAACAAAGAAGACAUUUCCAAAAAAGACGUGAGCACACCAGGCAGGAGGGAGAAAAGGAACAAGGAGAAAGGAAGGAAGUGAGACAAGCUGGGGAGAGAAGAGGCAAAGGCAGCCAGGAGCAGGCAUAGGGGAGAGAGGAGUGGGAAGCCCCAGGGGGUACAAGGAAAAAAAUGAGGGAAGCCAGUGGGAGGAAGGUGAGGAAGAGGAGAGGGAACAGGCACUGGGUGGGGAAGAGGCGAGCAGGAGAAAGCCUGUGCUGUGUGGAUUAUUGUGUGUUUGUCAUCUGGAAUGGUAUAAGCUGUAGGUACAGCAGCUCCCGCCCAUGAUUUAUGGUCCCUGUCAGGCAGGGACCGCGCUUUGUCUGCUGUAGCGUGGACGAUGAAUGCUCCGCUGUCAUCCCAGCCUGGCCGGCCUUUCUCUCUCUCUGCUCCCAACGCUGGCUCCCCAUUUCACGCCAGUGAACAUAAGCAAUCUUUUGUAAACCUGACAGUCACACUUGCUUCUUUGGAAACAUAAAGCAGAAAUGUAUGACUCGGCUUUCAUUACCCAAUUUCCUACGCUAUAUAAAAACACUCAGGAAAGACAUGUAAGUGGUCACGAAACCUGGGAAAUUGGAAGUGUCCUGGAGGAAAAAAAAAGGAAGAGUGGGGAGAAGGGGGCUGUAGGGUGGGAGGGAGCCGGUGAGGAGAGGAGACGAUGUGUCUAACUCCACCACAUCCUUCCCAGAAAACGCCGGCUGAUAAACGGGCCAUGCAGACACAUAAUUAUAUUACAUAUCUGAAUAAUAGACAUUUCCUGCCUGAAGUGUUGCUUUUUUUCCUCCUUCUCCUUUUAAC
rnacentral:lncRNA from 10 species